GAUGAACGCUGGCGGCGUGCCUAAUACAUGCAAGUCGAGCGAACAGACGAGGAGCUUGCUCCUCUGACGUUAGCGGCGGACGGGUGAGUAACACGUGGAUAACCUACCUAUAAGACUGGGAUAACUUCGGGAAACCGGAGCUAAUACCGGAUAACAUCUUGAACCGCAUUGUUCAAUAGUGAAAGACGGUCUUGCUGUCACUUAUAGAUGGAUCCGCGCCGCAUUAGCUAGUUGGUAAGGUAACGGCUUACCAAGGCAACGAUGCGUAGCCGACCUGAGAGGGUGAUCGGCGACACUGGAACUGGAACACGGUCCAGACUCCUACGGGAGGAAGCAGUAGGGAAUCUUCCGCAAUGGGCGAAAACCUGACGGAGCAACGCCGCGUGAGUGAAGAAGGUCUUCGGAUCGUAAAACUCUGUUAUUAGGGAAGAACAAAUGUGUAAGUAACUAUGCACGUCUUGACGGUACCUAAUCAGAAAGCCACGGCUAACUACGUG
rnacentral:rRNA from 1 species